CAAAAUACUAAUUGAAGUAGUUUGCAAGGACAGACACUGGACUCUGGUGGCUAUGUACCCCAAGGAACAAAGGGCUCUUUUUGUUGACCCUUUUGGAGCCACUAGUACCCAGGUGCAGAAAUGCAAUGAAAUGACAAGAGCCUUCAUCAGAAGGAGGAACAUCAACGUCUCCAGGUGGUCAUGUGACACAAUUUCCCACCCUCACCAGCAAGACACCACAUCAUGAAGGGUGCUGGUGGCAGAGCAUGUACUGAAUGAACAGAAGCCUGACUUUCCAGUUGACAUGGAGGCGGUCGACCGAAUGAAGUGGGAAAUGGCCCAAACACUGAUCUCU